UCAAAGAGCAAAUUAGGGCCUGAGUCAGAG
rnacentral:piRNA from 1 species